CAACUCACUGUUUAAUGUGUGAUAGCUAGGUUACGGCGUGUCAUAACUGGACCCAACCCACUGUUUAAUGUGUGGUAGCUAGGUUACGCCAUGUCAUGACUGGACCCAACCCACUGUUUAAUGUGUGGUAGCUAGGUUACGCCAUGUCAUGACUGGACCCAACCCACUGUUUAAUGUGUGGUAGCUAGGUUACGCCAUGUCAUGACUGGACCCAACCCACUGUUUAAUGUGUGGUAGCUAGGUUACGCCAUGUCAUGACUGGACCCAACCCACUGUUUAAUGUGUGGUAGCUAGGUUACGCCAUGUCAUGACUGGACCCAACCCACUGUUUAAUGUGUGGUAGCUAGGUUACGCCAUGUCAUGACUGGACCCAACCCACUGUUUAAUGUGUGGUAGCUAGGUUACGCCAUGUCAUGACUGGACCCAACCCACUGUUUAAUGUGUGGUAGCUAGGUUACGCCAUGUCAUGACUGGACCCAACCCACUGUUUAAUGUGUGGUAGCUAGGUUACGCCAUGUCAUGACUGGACCCAACCCACUGUUUAAUGUGUGGUAGCUAGGUUACGCCAUGUCAUGACUGGACCCAACCCACUGUUUAAUGUGUGGUAGCUAGGUUACGCCAUGUCAUGACUGGACCCAACCCACUGUUUAAUGUGUGGUAGCUAGGUUACGCCAUGUCAUGACUGGACCCAACCCACUGUUUAAUGUGUGGUAGCUAGGUUACGCCAUGUCAUGACUGGACCCAACCCACUGUUUAAUGUGUGGUAGCUAGGUUACGCCAUGUCAUGACUGGACCCAACCCACUGUUUAAUGUGUGGUAGCUAGGUUACGCCAUGUCAUGACUGGACCCAACCCACUGUUUAAUGUGUGGUAGCUAGGUUACGCCAUGUCAUGACUGGACCCAACCCACUGUUUAAUGUGUGGUAGCUAGGUUACGCCAUGUCAUGACUGGACCCAACCCACUGUUUAAUGUGUGGUAGCUAGGUUACGGCGUGUCAUGAUUGAACCCAACUCACUGUUUAAUGUGUGGUUGCUAGGUUGCACCGCGUCAUGACGACACAACCCACUGCCGUGGUUCUCCAUCUCUCUCUCUCUCUCUGUGUCUCUGUCUCUCUGUGUCUCUGUCUCUCUGUGUCUCUGUCUCUCUGUGUCCCUGUGUCUGUCUAUGUCUCUCUGUGUCUCUGUGUCUCUGUCUCUCUGUGUCUCUGUCUCUCUGUGUCUGUGUGUGUGUGCAUCCCAAAUUGUGAGGUACAUCCCAAAUGGGCCCCUAUUCCCUAUUUAGUGCACUACUUUAACCAGACCCCUAUGAGCCCUACAUAGGAUUAGGGUGCCAUUUGGGAUGCACAACAUGUCUGGGUUAUUUUAUGACCCCGGGUAGUCAUCCUGCCAGCCAGUCAGCGUGUGGUGACUCAUCGCUUCACAUUACAGAGAAGAAGUGGUGAAGGGAGUCGAGGGGAUUAUGGGUAGUUCAUAACUGCCUGGUGUGACACUUUAACAGGCCCGACAAUGUGCUCUGGCUUCACUACUACCUGUGUGUGUGUGUUGCAGUAACUAGAGGGAAGGUGCAUGCCUACUUCCCACCUGCUUGCAACCCUCUCCCUUACAACUCUUGCCCUCGUAAUAAUCUGGGAAGCAGCUCUGCGUAAGCCUUACCUUGACAGUAAACAGCCUCUCCUUCAUCAACACUCUUGCCGGGCCUCCUCGUGGCAACACACGGUAACUGGGUGGCCCCAUGCUAACUCGGCCUGUACCAGCUGUGGGGAGGUACCGGUCAUCUUUGAUAUUUUCUUCUCCUUUCCUCGCCACCGGAGUAGCCCAUUUCCCAACAGCGUGUCACUCACUAAAUCGGUUCAUCACGCAGGUAUCCACUACUGCUCUGCAGCGACUUCCACCUAGAAUUCCUGAAACCAUUCAAGUCUACAGGCAAUGGGAGUGCUUGGUAACGGGCAGGACGGAAUGAUCUGGAAUCUCCUAGCCGGGCCCCUGCACGGUAGCAGCACGGGGCUUUUGGUUGUCGUCAGCAGCUGGGAUUUGAGUGGCAGCUACACCUGGUAGAGUAGUCCUGUUUUAGGAACCACAGUGCUCACCCCAGCAGGGGAAAAGGUGUCUGAAACAUUGCCCACUUUAACUCUCUUAUUUAGAUAGGUGCAGUAGCCUAUCAGGACAUUCCGUUUCAGCGGUCGCUAACUAGAUACAAAUAAAUGUGUCCUUACGACUUAUACCAUGGAACAUCUCUUGGACGCGAGCCACGGCGCCGACAGGCCCGAAGGAAGGACGAGGCUCAUCACAGCCAAGCUGAAGCGCCGACAGGCCCGAAGGAAGGACGACGCUCAUCUCAGCAGAGCUGAAGCGCCGACAGGCCCGAAGGAAGGACGACGCUCAUCUCAGCAGAGCUGAAGCGCCGACAGGCCCGAAGGAAGGACGACGCUCAUCUCAGCAGAGCUGAAGCGCCGACAAGCCCGAAGGAGGGACGACGCUCAUCUCAGCAGAGCUGAAGCGCCGACAGGUCCGAAGGAAGGACGACGCUCAUCUCAGCAGAGCUGAAGCGCCGACAGGCCCGAAGGAAGGACGACGCUCAUCUCAGCAGAGCUGAAGCGCCGACAGGCCCGAAGGAAGGACGACGCUCAUCUCAGCAGAGCUGAAGCGAUUUAUAACAAUGACAUCACUGCAAAUAGUGUGAGACCAGACUCCUUGGUGAAGGGUCGCUCAGCCAUCCUUAACCAAGCUAGAGAAUGAAGGUUCACCCAGCCAUCCUUAACCGAGCUAGAGAAUGAAGGUUCACCCAGCCAUCCUUAACCGAGCUAGAGAAUGAAGGUUCACCCAGCCAUCCUUAACCGAGCUAGAGAAUGAAGGUUCACCCAGCCAUCCUUAACCGAGCUAGAGAAUGAAGGUUCACCCAGCCAUCCUUAACCGAGCUAGAGAAUGAAGGUUCACCCAGCCAUCCUUAACCGAGCUAGAGAAUGAAGGUUCACCCAGCCAUCCUUAACCGAGCUAGAGAAUGAAGGUUCACCCAGCCAUCCUUAACCGAGCUAGAGAAUGAAGGUUCACCCAGCCAUCCUUAACCGAGCUAGAGAAUGAAGGUUCACCCAGCCAUCCUUAACCGAGCUAGAGAAUGAAGGUUCACCCAGCCAUCCUUAACCGAGCUAGAGAAUGAAGGUUCACCCAGCCAUCCUUAACCGAGCUAGAGAAUGAAGGUUCACCCAGCCAUCCUUAACCGAGCUAGAGAAUGAAGGUUCACCCAGCCAUCCUUAACCGAGCUAGAGAAUGAAGGUUCACCCAGCCAUCCUUAACCGAGCUAGAGAAUGAAGGUUCACCCAGCCAUCCUUAACCAAACUAGAGAAUGAAGGUUCACCCAGCCAUCCUUAACCAAAC